AUUGAACGCUGGCGGCAGGCCUAACACAUGCAAGUCGAGCGAGCGGCGGCCGGGUGAGUAAUGUAUGGGGCUCUGCCCGAUAGAGGGGGAUAACUACUGGAAACGGUGGCUAAUACCGCAUACUAUCGGAUGAACCCAUAUGGGAUUAGCGUGUAGGUGGGGUAAAGGCUCCCCAAGGCGACGCUCACUAGCUGGUCUGAGAGGAUGAUCAGCCACACUGGGACUGAGACACGGCCCAGACCCCUACGGGAGGCAGCAGUGGGGAAUAUUGCACAAUGGGCGCAAGCCUGAUGCAGCCAUGCCGCGUGUAUGAAGAAGGCCUUCGGGUUGUAAAGGACUUUCAGCGGGGAGGCGUUACCCGCAGAAGAAGCACCGGCUAACUCCGUGCCAGCAGCCGCGGUAAUUC
rnacentral:rRNA from 1 species